GAUGAACGCUGGCGGCGUGCCUAAUACAUGCAAGUCGAGCGAACAGACGAGGAGCUUGCUCCUCUGACGUUAGCGGCGGACGGGUGAGUAACACGUGGAUAACCUACCUAUAAGACUGGGAUAACUUCGGGAAACCGGAGCUAAUACCGGAUAAUAUAUUGAACCGCAUGGUUCAAUAGUGAAAGACGGUUUUGCUGUCACUUAUAGAUGGAUCCGCGCCGCAUUAGCUAGUUGGUAAGGUAACGGCUUACCAAGGCGACGACGCGUAGCCGACCUGAGAGGGUGAUCGGCCACACUGGAACUGAGACACGGUCCAGACUCCUACGGGAGGCAGCAGUAGGGAAUCUUCCGCAAUGGGCGAAAGCCUGACGGAGCAACGCCGCGUGAGUGAUGAAGGUCUUCGGAUCGUAAAACUCUGUUAUUAGGGAAGAACAAAUGUGUAAGUAACUAUGCACGUCUUGACGGUACCUAAUCAGAAAGCCACGGCUAACUACGU
rnacentral:rRNA from 1 species